GGGUCAUGAGAGGGUAAUAAGAAACUAGCUUGUAUUUUUUCUUUUUUGUCGACCUUGAACCUUAGGUUAUAAAACUCAUGAAAGAGUAACAAGAUCAAGGACAACCACAGAAGAAUAACAAGUACUUGAGGGAUUUUGAAGGCCAUGGUAUAUAUGGAAGAAUAGGAGAAGGCUAAAGGGUUGAGAAGGGGAAGCAUGGAUCCAUUAGAUGAUCGAGGAGGAAU
rnacentral:lncRNA from 1 species